CGUAGUGCAGACGACCUACUCCUCCUCCCAAGGUCGUCUGCGGGAACGGUGGCACUCCUCCUCCCAGCUACCGUUCGGUUCUUGACGAAAGCCUGCCGCAUCUCCUCCCGCGGCAGGCUUUUUCG
rnacentral:sRNA from 1 species